AUCGGACUCUAGGAAAAGACAACUUAUCCAUCCUAGAAUCCUGUUUUCCGCUUUUCUAUUUCUACUUUACUUAAUAUUCUGUACCUACCUAUUUUUUAGGUUUAGUAUCGAGUUAAUUCUAUUACAAUAGAAAUUCGAAGAUUUCUAUUCUAGAACAUGAAAAUCUGAAAACAGCGACAUAAUCAUAUGGUUCGAAUUAAUUCUAUAGUCUUCUUCACAAUAUACAUACUAUAACUGACUAAUUGUACGGUACAAGGAAUUCUCUAAAUAUAGUAUAAAAAAACUAGAAAGAACCAAUGGUCUUUACAGAAUUUAUCAAUAAAAAUGGAGUUCUUUUUACCAGCUUAAUAUGUUGAUAAAN
rnacentral:lncRNA from 1 species